AACGCGAAGAACCUUACCUCGGCUUGACAUGCACGUGGUACUGACCCGUAAGGGAAGGGACCCGCGAGGGAGCGUGCACAGAUGCUGCAUGGCUGUCGUCAGCUCGUGCCGUGAGGUGUUGGGUUAAGUCCCGCAACGAGCGCAACCCUUGUCCUUAGUUGCCUUCUCUAAGGAGACCGCCGGUCUAAACCGGAGGAAGGUGGGGAUGACGUCAAGUCAGCACGGCUCUUACGUCGAGGGCUACACACACGCUACAAUGGCCGGUACAACGGGCUGCCAAGGGGCGACCUGGAGCUAAUCCCACCAAAGCCGGUCUCAGUUCGGAUCGCAGGCUGCAACUCGCCUGCGUGAAGUCGGAGUUGCUAGUAACUGCUGGUCAGCACACAGCAGUGAAUACGUUCCCGGGCCUUGUA
rnacentral:rRNA from 1 species